rfam:Carboxydocella sporoproducens DSM 16521 genome assembly, contig: BR84DRAFT_scaffold00055.55
AGGGGAGUAGCUCAAUUGGUAGAGCGGCGGUCUCCAAAACCGUAGGUUGCGGGUUCGAGUCCUGUCUCCCCUG